rnacentral:rRNA from 1 species
UGGGGAAUAUUGCACAAUGGGCGAAAGCCUGAUGCAGCGACGCCGCGUGAGGGAUGACGGCCUUCGGGUUGUAAACCUCUUUCAGCAGGGAAGAAGCGAAAGUGACGGUACCUGCAGAAGAAGCGCCGGCUAACUACGUGCCAGCAGCCGCGGUAAUACGUAGGGCGCAAGCGUUGUCCGGAAUUAUUGGGCGUAAAGAGCUCGUAGGCGGUUAGUCGCGUCUGCUGUGAAAACUCGAGGCUCAACCUCGGGCUUGCAGUGGGUACGGGCUGACUAGAGUGCGGUAGGGGUGACUGGAAUUCCUGGUGUAGCGGCGGAAUGCGCAGAUAUCAGGAGGAACACCGAUGGGCGAAGGCAGGUCACUGGGCCGCAACUGACGCUGAGGAGCGAAAGC